AUUGAACGCUGGCGGCAUGCUUUACACAUGCAAGUCGAACGCGAAAGGGGGCAACCCUGAGUAGAGUGGCGCACGGGUGAGUAAUACAUCGGAACGUGUCCUGUAAUGGGGGACAACGCAGCGAAAGCUGUGCUAAUACCGCAUACGUCCUACGGGAGAAAGCGGGGGAUCGCAAGACCUCGCGUUAUAGGAGCGGCCGAUGCCGGAUUAGCUAGUUGGUGGGGUAAAGGCCUACCAAGGCAACGAUCCGUAGCUGGUCUGAGAGGAUGAUCAGCCACACUGGGACUGAGACACGGCCCAGACUCCUACGGGAGGCAGCAGUGGGGAAUUUUGGACAAUGGGCGCAAGCCUGAUCCAGCCAUGCCGCGUGAGUGAAGAAGGCCUCGG
rnacentral:rRNA from 1 species